ACGUAGGGUGCAAGCGUUAAUCGGAAUUACUGGGCGUAAAGCGUGCGCAGGCGGUUCGGAAAGAAGGAUGUGAAAUCCCAGGGAUCAACCUUGGAACUGCAUUCUUAACUACCGAACUAGAGUAUGUCAGAGGGUGGUAGAACACAGCGUGUAGGGGUAAAAUCCGUUGAGAUUAUGUGGAACACCAAAGGCGAAGGCAAUUAACUGGCCCCUUUCUGACGCUCUCAGACGAAAGCGUGGGGAGCAAACAG
rnacentral:rRNA from 1 species